rnacentral:rRNA from 1 species
UGCAAGUCGAGCGCCCCGCAAGGGGAGCGGCAGACGGGAGAGUAACACGUGGGAACGUGCCCUUUGGUUCGGAACAACACAGGGAAACUUGUGCUAAUACCGGAUAAGUCCGUAAGGAGAAAGAUUUAUCGCCAAAGGAUCGGCCCGCGUCUGAUUAGCUUGUUGGUGAGGUAACGGCUCACCAAGGCGACGAUCAGUAGCUGGUCUGAGAGGAUGAUCAGCCUCACUGGGACUGAGACACGGCCCAGACUCCUACGGGAGGCAGCAGUGGGGAAUAUUGGACAAUGGGCGCAAGCCUGAUCCAGCCAUGCCGCGUGGAUGAUGAGGGCCCUAGGGUUGUAAAGUCCUUUCGACGGGGAAGAUAAUGACGGUACCCGUAGAUGAAGCCCCGGCUAACUUCGUGCCAGCAGCCGCGGUAAU